GCCUUGGGCUGAAGUUAGGGCAUAGGCUCAGGGAAACUCAGGACGGGAGAAACUAGAUGAAAAAGCUAACGGAGCAGCCAUAGCAUUGACUGGGCAUGGUGAAGACCAGGGUUCUGAAAGCUGAGGAUCACAGUGGACCUGGAUCAGGACAUAGAUUUAAAAAUGCAAUUAAGCUCCAAGGUUUAGAAUUCCAGGCAUGGGAACAGGCAAUGCAGAACAAGGAACUAAGAAUCAGCUCAAGUGGGGACCACAGCGGCAGGAGAGGAGAACACAGAUCUACCAAAGACCUCUAGGACAGAAACUUUCAAGGAACAGAAUCUUGUUCUGUUGCCCAGGCUGCUCUUGAACUCUUGGCUUCAAGAGAUCCUCUUGCCUUGGCCUCCAAAAGUGCUGGGAUGAAUCUCUGUCAUGGUGGCAUGAGCCACCAUGCCUGGCCCAGAUCCUGAAUUCUAGCAGGACAGCUCAUGCCCACCAGUCUGAAGACACCAAAAGGAGAACUGACUCAAUGCAAGAAUGCAAUUUCUUUAGUUCCAUGACGUCACCCUUCAUUCUUCAACCAAUCAGUGAUCCUUAUACCUUGGCCCACUAACCAUCCAAACCCCUUAAAAUCCCUAGAUCCUAAACUCCUUGAGGAGGUGGAUUUGAGGUUUCCUCCAGUCUCCUUGUUUGGCUGCCUUGUGAUUAAACCUCUUUCUCUGCUGCAAUUCUUUGUGUCUUGGUGUAUUUACUUACCACACAUUGGACAUUUUACCAAGAACUAAAAAUAGAACUACCAUUUGACCCAGCAGUCCCACUACUGGGCAUCUACUCAAAGGAAAAGAAAUCAUUCUAUCAAAAAGACACCUGUACUCCUAUGUUUAUUGCAGUACUAUUCAAAAUAGCAAAGUCUAUUUAUGUUAUAAUCAGAUUUGUAUUACAACUGUUUUAUAUUACAAUAGCUUUAUAUUAUAAAUAUAAUUAUGUAACCUAUAUAUAGUACUCAGUUACAAUUGUUUGUGUGUGUGUAACUAUGUCUGUGUUGUAAAAAUUAUUCUACCAAAAUGGGAAUGGUAGGUAGAAAGUAUAUGCAGAUAAUUUUGUCUAACAAUUUUGUCUUUCAUUUUUGUCCAACAAAUGCACUGUUUACCUUUUGCCACCGUACUCUCUGCCUCAGAGGGCUGACCUUUGUGGACUGUUUCAUGAGUAGCCUUUGACUUUUGGCUUACAGCUGGUUUAAUCACUGGGGAGGAUCACCAGGAGACCUAGAGACUGGGAGGUGAAUGAGGGAGGGUGGUUGCUGUCCUGGGAAGUGAAUGAGGGAGGGUGCUUACUGUCCCAGAUCUUUCCCUGUCGAUUCUCUAUGGGUUACCAAGUACCCUAGCAAAUUUCACAGCUCCUCUCAGAUGGCCCUCUCCCAUACAGCUGUUCUCAAUAGGUUUCCAUAAACAUUGCCUUCCAGGCUAGAUGUAGUAAUAGUUCCCUGGUGUUGCAAACUGUAGGGAACCUACUAUUGCUUAUUGCUUUCCCUAAAUACUAUCUGCACAUUUUGCUGGAAUUCUGACUGAGAUAUGUACUCCUUUUUCUUCAAAUAGAUUAACUCAUGCUUUCAAGUCUUAUAAAUCUCUUAUUACUAAAUAUUGGAGAAAUUUCCUACCAUAAAGCUCCUACAUUGAUUCACCUAUAUUGUUUAAAUAAGAGGCCAAUGCUCUAAUUUCCAAUUACCUCUGAGCCUCUCUGGCAUCCAGCUCACAUUAUAGGUAGUCAGAAUUUAAGAUAUCUUUCAUUCAUUGUUUGGGUUGGACAUUUCAUCUUCCCAUAAGUAGAAACAUUUCAACAAAAAUGUGAAGUGUUGUGAUAUUUGCAUCCUAACUUCAAAUGGUUGAGAACAAAAUUUUCAAAGAAAAUGAGAAUACAAAAAUAAAAAAGUGAUUAAUCCA
rnacentral:lncRNA from 1 species